GAUGAACGCUGGCGGCGUGCCUAAUACAUGCAAGUCGAGCGAACAGACGAGGAGCUUGCUCCUCUGACGUUAGCGGCGGACGGGUGAGUAACACGUGGAUAACCUACCUAUAAGACUGGGAUAACUUCGUGAAACCGGAGCUAAUACCGGAUAAUAUAUUGAACCGCAUGGUUCAAUAGUGAAAGACGGCUUUGCUGUCACUUAUAGAUGGAUCCGCGCCGCAUUAGCUAGUUGGUAAGGUAACGGCUUACCAAGGCAACGAUGCGUAGCCGACCUGAGAGGGUGAUCGGCCACACUGGAACUGAGACACGGUCCAGACUCCUACGGGAGGCAGCAGUAGGGAAUCUUCCGCAAUGGGCGAAAGCCUGACGGAGCAACGCCGCGUGAGUGAUGAAGGUCUUCGGAUCGUAAAACUCUGUUAUUAGGGAAGAACAAAUGUGUAAGUAACUAUGCACGUCUUGACGGUACCUAAUCAGAAAGCCACGGCUAACUACGUG
rnacentral:rRNA from 1 species